rnacentral:lncRNA from 1 species
GAUUUGAGUUUGAUUUGGAUAGCUUUUUAGAAAAUACAAGCUAGAUAAAUCAACACGCCCUGAGUCCUACAUAAUUUUUAGCCCAAUCCUAUAGGAAUAUCCAAUUAAAGAUUAUUUGGAUAUAGAGAGUAAAAUUCAUGGCUUUUAAAAAAUAUUAUUAUGCAAAAUAUAAUAAAAAUUAUAUAUGAUAUCAAAAAUCCAUUAUACUGAAC